CCUACGUGAGGCAGCAGUGAGGAAUAUUGGUCAAUGGGCGCGCGCCUGAACCAGCCACGUAGCGUGAAGGAUGACUGCCCUACGGGUUGUAAACUUCUUUUAUAAAGGAAUAAAGUGAGGCACGUGUGCCUUUUUGUAUGUACUUUAUGAAUAAGGAUCGGCGAACUCCGUGCCAGCAGCCGCGGUAAUACGGAGGAUCCGAGCGUUAUCCGGAUUUAUUGGGUUGAAAGGGAGCGUAGAUGGGUUGUUAAGUCAGUUGUGAAAGUUUGCUGCUCAACCGUAAAAUUGCAAUUGAUACUGGCAGUCUUGAGUACAGUUGAGGUAGGCGGAAUUCGUGGUGUAGCGGUGAAAUGCUUAGAUAUCACGAAGAACUCCGACUGCGAAGGCAGCUUACUAAACUGCCACUGACAUUGAUGCUCGAAAGUGUGGGUAUCAAACAGGAUUAGAUACCCGUGUAGUC
rnacentral:rRNA from 1 species